GACGAACGCUGGCGGCGGGCUUAACACAUGCAAGUCGAACGGAAAGGCCCUGCUUUUGUGGGGUGCCCGAGUGGCGAACGGGUGAGUAACACGUGAGUAACCUGCCCUUGACUUUGGGAUAACUUCAGGAAGCUGGGGCUAAUACCGGAUAGGAGCUCCUGCUGCAUGGUGGGGGUUGGAAAGUUUCGGCGGUUGGGGAUGGAUUCGCGGCUUAUCAGCUUGUUGGUGGGGUAGUGGCUUACCAAGGCUUUGACGGGUAGCCGGCAUGAGAGGGUGAACGGCGACCUGAGGACUGAGGGACGGACCAGACUGCUACGGGGGGCAGCAGGGGGGAGUAUUGCACAGUGGGAGGAAGCCGGAUGCAGCGGCGCCGCGUGCGGGAUGACGGCCUUCGGGUUGUAAACCGCUGUCGCCUGUGACGAAGCGUGAGUGACGGUAAUGGGUGAAGAAGCACCGGCUAACUACGUG
rnacentral:rRNA from 1 species